AGCCGAAUAGAGUAACGAGACAAGAAACCAAGUCAUCUAGUCGCUCCCCAUUACACUCAAACGAAAGCAUUGAUAAAAUCUUGCUAUAUCCGCGUUUGAACUUGGGUGAUCAAUCACAAUGCAGUCUGGUGAAGCUUCUUGUUCAAUGGAAGUAGAAAAGGUUAUAGAUGAAACAUCUUUGCCGGUGAAGCCAAAGUUUGAGCCUUUGAAGGCUCAUGAGAUGUCUGAUGGUCGAGUUCAAUUUAGGAAGGUU